rnacentral:lncRNA from 1 species
GACUUGAGCAUGAGCAGCACGGUGACGUUGGCGAGGGUAGCCAACAAGAUAGGCCACGUCGAACAUCAGCUCCUGCCAUGAUCGCAGAGGCGAGUGACAGCGACUAUGGCCCAGUAUGCCCAGCUGCGUCGUCUGCGCCGCCCCCCUCCCAAGAGGUUCAGGCCCCCUCACCGUUGCAAGAUGGGCCGCACAGACGCCAAACUCCCGCCAUGACCGCAGAGGCGAGUAGCAUGCCAAGUGACCAUUCGUCAGAAGAUGACCCCUCCCCCACGACCACCUAUGCUAUCCCUCGCGUACUGAUUGAAUAUAUGACGAUGGGAUACUUCCACGACUGCCGAAUCUCGGUUUGCUCCGUGGUGGACCCACUUCUCAAGUCCUCUCUAUGACUCAAGCUUCUGAGGCCAACGAGGAAGAAGAUGAAGAAGAGGGUGAGGAGGUGGUGAUGGAAUCGUCAGACCCUAUAUAUGGACCAGAGAACGGCUUUGCCGUUGAUGAAGCCUGCAUCAUCGUGGAAGAUCAUGAUACAGUGUUUGAGCUGGUGGAGGAGGGUGAGAAGGAUAAAUCUGAGGGCGCCGUUGACGUUCAGGAGGCCCCCCUCCUGAAUGCCUCCCACGUUCAAGAGGCCCCCCUCGAAGUCUUGCAACCUUCAAAAUGCUUCAUCAUGCAGCAAUAUCAUGUUCAACAGUGUAAUGUCGAUCAAAUUUGUUUUGAGAUUUAGAAUGCAAUAUUCAUUGAUUCUACUCUAUAUUUUCAUACCACUUUAUCAAUAGAGAUAAAGUAUAUAAUCCAACCAAUUUCAUUAACUGUCAUAGUAACGAAUUAAUGCUUUGAGAUAUUCAAGUAAUUUCGAACGGUUGAUUUAAAUUUUAAACGAAGACUAAGCUAACAAUUGUCUAUUGUUAUGUACUGUAACAGCCAUGAAUAGACUCGAAAGUCAAAGACUAGUAGAUCAUGUGCAGUUCAAACGCACGGCACAUGAAACGAACGACUUCAGUUCAAACGACGAGAAACAUCAUAGCAAUUUUUAUUCUCCACAACGAUGCAUACAUUUCUUAUGAGAAUAUAAUGUAGCUACAGUUACAGUACUAUUAUGAUUUUGUUGCUAUAUAAUUGCACAAUUACAAAGUGUGUUUUUCCGCUAAUGAAUUUAUGUGCAUUUUAAUAUGAGAAGGUGAAUAUUUUUGGCUGAAUAAUUCAGUUUUUAUGACAAAUAUGUUAAUUUAUUAUCAACUUUCCUAACGUUUGAUCAUGCGCACGAUUCUAUUAUCGAGAUAAAAUUUCAUAUUGCUAAUAAUUAAUGCAGAAAAUGAUUUCAUAACUCACUAAAAUUCACUGAGAAUUUUUAUGUGAUGAACUCGCAAAGUCAAGCGAAAUAGUGCCAACACGGCAAAACAUUAAAAAUCUUCGAAAAGCUCUUUGUGAACAAAAUUUACUCCGCGCUCAGCGAUGAGAGUUUAGGAGAUCCUGCAUGAGACAAGUGAUCUAAUUAAUGAUUACAGAGCAAUGAUACGGUGCAUGCAGUUCAUUAUUGAUGAAACUUGCUACCGCAAGAACUCGAAUAAUACGAUAUUAUCAAUGCAGAGGUGAUUAUUUUAUAAUUUAUCAUUGAAAUCAUUCAAUUGUGCCGUACGGAACUUAAUGUUUGAUAACUUUUCCAAUAAAGUUCAUAAUUGCUUAUCUCUCUAUCUAUAUUUUGCCAACGAUUCAAACGAGGUUUGAAUGUUUAUAUAGUAUUAUGUUGUGUGUUCAAAUAUUGCAUUGUAUUUAGAUUAGGCUCUGCGCAUGACAAAUCGUAUGGUAUAUAGGCAAAUGUGUCUUUUCAAAUUUUUGAAGCUAACAAGUUGAUGUUAUUGCUUAUCUUAAUGUAAAAUACUUUAUAAUAAUUUUUUAGUGGAUUUUUGCACUCGCAAAACGAUUAUUAAAGUUUCGCACUCUAAUA